rnacentral:lncRNA from 1 species
GGAAAAGUCUCAUCGACCGUUUCAGUUUUGUUCAGGACGACGACAGUGACAGCGAUCCGUUUGAAGUUAACGAUUCCGAUUCUUGUUCAGAAACUUCUGAUUCUGAUUUCAUCCAAGAUGAAAAGACCCAUCUGACAAUGGAACUG